GUUGGAGGUCUUACAGUUUAGUCCAUUGUUUUGCAUCUCAAUUAGUUGCAAAUUAACUUAGCUUACAGUUAAAUUGAAAAAAGAAAAACUUAGCAGUGUUUGUUGGUACUUGACUGUGUGAGAUUUCUUCUUUCAGGGUUUGUAGUAGAUAAUUUACUCUGUGGCAAGUUUUCUAAGUUAACAUUUUUAUUGGCAGAACCGAACUAUUUUAAGGAGAGAUAUCUUUUAAUCAAAUCUGAAUUUUUGUUGUCAUCAUUAUUAUUAUUAUUAUUAUUAUUAUUAUUAUUAUUAUUAUUAUUAUUAUUAUGACUAUCAUCAUCGUUGUAUUUACUUUUAUAUAAUAUAGAUGUGAUUCUUUUGGUUACUAAUUUAGAUGUUGUUUUAAUGAUUAUGGAAGAUAGUGUGAAUUAGUAGUUUUUGAAUGUUUGUUAAGAUCUUAUGAAUGAAAUUAUGCUUUGAGUGACCAUAGUAUGAACGAUUUUAGAAAUGCUGAAUUAUAUUUUCAAAUUGUUUUGAUGUCCUUCUACAGGUUAGUCCAUUGUCUUACAGGUCGUAUGCAAUUUUUUGUAUGAUUAAACUGUUGGUUUUAGAUUAGUAACAAUGGUUUUAACUUGGAAAUAAAGUAUCUCCCAAUUGAAGGUUUGAAUGCAUUUAAUAAGGCAACUGCAGAACUCUUACACGGAGCAGACAAUCCAGCAAUCAAACAGCAUAAGAGUUGCCACUGUCCAAGGUCUUUCAGGAUCUGGUUCUCUGCUACUAGGUGCAGCACUGAUAAAACGAUAUUUUCCCAGGGCAAAAGUUUUGAUAUCAAAUCCUACAUGGGAUGUGCAUUUGUUUUCCUUUCUCUGUUUAACUGUUUAACUUGGUCAUGAUUUUUGUUUCAAGGGAGUUCGUACCUGUUAACGUUGUUAUCUUUCAGGUAAUCACAAGAAUAUUUUCAACGAUGCUGGAGUACCAUGGUCUCAGUACCGAUUUUAUGACACCAAAACAGUUGGGUUGGAUUUUGAAGGCAUGAUAGAAGAUAUAAAGGUUACAUCCCGAUCCAAUAUUUAGAUAGUGAAACCAAUCAUACUUUUAUAUGAUACUUUUGUAUUAGAAAAGUAUAUUGGUUGAAAGAAAUUAUGUCUCUCAUCUUCCUACUAAAUGAGGUCUUUUUCAAGCAUAUUGUUGUAGCUCAAAGUUGGAUUUCUAAGGAAUGAUCCAUUUUUUCUGCCUUGAGGAUUUCUAAUUUCAAUAGGAAUUGUUGCUUACAAUUCUCGUACAUUGAACUUUGUUAGAUACCUGAAUGUAGUUAGAAAAUGUCAUAUAAUGUGAAGUGAUACACCUCUUUAGUUGUGUAUUAUUGACAUGUAUCGUUGCUCCUGAGUGGAAUCUGGCCUCUCCUGGCAGUAAGCUUCCUGUCAUGGUCCUCUAUCAGUCAUAUGAUGGAUCUUGGGUCUACCCAACUCGAUGACACCCUCCCCUCCUCUUAUGGUUACAUAUCGAGUAUGAGGGGAGCGAGUCGAGCAAGGCCAGAUUGGGCCGACCGGCGGAGAACAUAACAUAUGGGCCAGGUGUAGAAUAAUAUUAUAACCAUUGUGCACUUGUGUAGAAUCUAUGGGUUCAAGUUCAACAGUACUUGUUCUCCUUGUAACAUCUAUACAGGAUGCUAACCAUGCAUUUUUUUUCCCCUCAGGUAAUGGUAAAUAUCUAGAUUCUUUAACCAUUGUUUUAGUUUUACUCAAAUCAGAUAACAAAAAUUGCACUUCAGAGGCGCAAGAGUUUUCAAUGCUGUCAUGGCGGAGUUGUUGGCAAAAGGAAUGAAAAAUGCUCAAAAUGGAUGGCGGUUAGUUUGUCCACAUUUUACAGCUUUAUUGGAAUAUGAAAUCUUCACAGCAUUGGUCAUGAAUGAAUAGGACAUGUUAGAUUGGGAAGAAGAUGCUGAUGAGUAUAUACGGAAGAAUUUUCCUUCAGAUAUACUGCGAAAUCUUCCAUUUUUUUCGUUAAUGUUUUAGAUAAUUUGUAGUCAUUUCUGAUCAAAAUUUUAUAUUCAGAACGAAGUUAGUGGAUGGAGGGAGGAUUUAUUCACUGCCAGAAAAAGUGCAGUAAACUUACUUGGUGUUAUUUCAAUGUCAAAGGGGCCACACCACACCAAUGGAGACUUCCAUUGACAGUUUAUCAGCCAAGCGGAAAAAAGAACAAAAGAAGCAAUCAGCGCCGUUCUAAGGGAGAGUUAUUGGUGCUUCUGUUUUCGUCUAAGUUUCUCAUUCCUUCUGUUUCCAACGUGUCUCAAAAAAAAAUCCUGAAUGAAAUUAUGCAGAAAAUUCUGAUUAUGGGUUUAUAGCAUUUCUGUUGCAAAUUAUGUGUUUCGGCGAGCUCUGGAAGUGUCGAUGUUAUUGUUCAAGCUUCUUUUCAGGAGGAAGAGAGAUUGUUUGGAGUUUGGAAGCGACGAGUUGCCUUUGGUGUCCAUUGAAAAGGGAAGCCGGAUGACAUCCUUUUUACAAAUGUGAAUUUGGAGGUGCGGUUUGGUAUGCAAUUCAUAAGUAGCUUGGGGAACAACGGUGGUUCAGGCGAAUUUUUUCUCUCUUUUGGAGUAUUUCAUAUUGCAUCUAGGCGGAAGGGAAAACGGGUCUCCUUUUGUAGAUCCCAUAUGCAAAACAUAGUUUAGUCGUCUCUUUCCUCGUAUGUACAAGACAUUUUAUAUCAAACAAACUCUUAAGGAUGUGUGGGAUAUAAUAGAUAAGAUUGGAUAAUUAGUUGGAUAAGAUAUGAUAAUAAUAAAAUAAACAUUUAUCUUAUCAUGUCUACAUGAUAAGAAAUUUUAUAGCAUUAGUUACUACAUUUUUUUUACCAAAAAACAAAAAAGUUUUCUAAUGCUAGAUUACAAAUUUCUUCAAAAAAUUUCAUGCUAUUGCUUACUCACACGAACGUCAUAUUAUACACAUAAUCUUAUAUCUCUGCACAAACACCGUAAAUCAUCAAGUAUGUGAGUUAAUUCUCUUGCAUAUCUUUCAUUUAGCUCAUUUCUUGACUCAACUAACUAUUUCCUUCAGGGUCUUUUCCUUUUUCCUGUGUGAAACAGGGCGCAUAUAUUAAGCACGAUCCAACGGCCACUACUAAUGCUGCAAGAGUCACACCACCAACAGCUGCACCAGCUAUAACCGCAGUGUUAGUCUUCGAAGAUGUCGUGCAAGCCUUCAAGGGACGGCCACAGAGUGCUGAAUUAUUCGCAAAACUUUCUUCAGGGAUUAAACUUGGUUUAAAAUUCGGAACCGGCCCUGACAAAAGAUAAUUGGAAACACUAAACGUCUUAAGCCGUGUGAGAGAAGCAAAUUCCGGAGGAAUUUGACCGGCAAGUUGGUUUUGGUCAAGCUUAAGACUAUUAAGAUAGGUACAGUUAGAAAGCGACACAGGUAUCGAUCCAGGAAAAUCAUUUGAAGAUGGAUCAAGAGUGAGCACAAAGUUGACAAGAAUAGAUAUAUCAUCUGAAAUGGUUUUAGAGAGGCUGUUUAAUGAAAAAUCUAAUCCCGUUAAGCUUGUGCAAUUUCGAAUGCCUUGAGGAAACUCGCCCUUGAGUCCCAUAUUAGAAAGUUUGAGAUUCGAGACUCUAUUUUCAUUGGGAUGCAAACAUUCAACACCAGUGAACUGGCAAAUAAACCCUUCCUCAAUA